CGGAGACAAGUGAAGAGAACUGACUUACACCUUAAAGAACUGCUGUUUACUCUGUAAAGGUUGCCCUUCAUCACUCAGCAGUGAAGAAUGAAAAUCAACAGAGCUUUCCCCAGCCUGCUGCUUAAGCAGCUGCUAGCAGGCUGAGGCUGCCCAGCCUCAUUAACCCGUUAGAUGCUGCGUUCGCCCGGGAGUCAUUCUUAAUGAGGCUGCUGCAGUUUUUCAGAGAAAACCAUGUACAUUUUGUGAGAAUACUCAAGCAGCCCCAUGGACCUGUCCAAAUAGCAAGGAACUGAAGCCCUCUGACAAGAACCACGUGAAUGAACCAUCCUAGAAGGAGAACCUCCAGCUGCAGUCAAAUCUCCAAAUAACUUCCCCCACAGUCAAUAUUACAACUGCAUCCUCAUGGGAGACCCUGAGCUAGAACCACCAGUAAGCCCCUUCCAAAUUCUGAAACCUUAGGAAUUGUGUGAGAUAAUAAAUAUUUACUACUAUUUAAACUUUCUAAAAGACAUAAAAAAGAAUAAAAUCAUGUCCUUUGCAGUAAUAUGAAUGUAGCUGGAGGCCAUCAUCCUAAGUGAAGAUGGAAGAGAGAAAACCAAAUACAGCAUGUUCUCACUUAUAAGUGGGAGCUAAACAUUAGGGACAUAUGGACAUAAAGAUGGCAACAAUGGACA